GGGUCUGUGAUGUAAUUGGCUAACAUAUCACUUUUGCAAAGUGAAAUUCAGGGUUCAAAUCCCUCAGACUCCA
rnacentral:tRNA from 1 species